rnacentral:rRNA from 1 species
GAUGAACGCUGGCGGCGUGCCUAAUACAUGCAAGUCGAGCGAACGGACGAGACGCUUGCUUCUCUGAUGUUAGCGGCUGACGGGUGAGUAACACGUGGAUAACCUACCUAUAAGACUGGGAUAACUUCGUUAAACCGGAGCUCAUACCGGAUAAUAUUUUGAACCUCAUGGUUCAAAAGUGAAAGACGGUCUUGCUGUCACUUCUAGAUGGAUCCGCGCUGCAUUAGCUAGUUGGUAAGGUAACGGCUUACCAAGGCAACGAUGCAUAGCCGACCUGAGAGGGUGAUCGGCCACACUGGAACUGAGACACGGUCAAGACUCCUACGGGAGGCAGCAGUAGGGAAUCCUCCGCAAAGGGCGAAAGCCUGACGGAGCAACGACGAGUGAGUGAUGAAGGUCUGCGGAGCGUAAAACUCUGUUAUUAGGGAAGAACAGAUGUGUAAGUAACGGUGCACAUCUUGACGGUACCUAAUCAGAAAGCCACGGCUAACUACGUG